GAUGAACGCUAGCGGCAGGCUUAAUACAUGCAAGUCGAGGGACAGCACAGGUAGCAAUACUGGGUGGUAACCGGCAAACGGGUGCGGAACACGUACACAACCUUCCUUUAAGUGGGGGAUAGCCCAGAGAAAUUUGGAUUAAUACCCCGUAAUAUAGUUGAAUGGCAUCAUUUGAUUAUUAUAGCUACGGCGCUUAAUGAUGGGUGUGCGGCUGAUUAGAUAGUUGGCGGGGUAACGGCCAACCAAGUCUACGAUCAGUAGCUGAUGUGAGAGCAUGAUCAGCCACACGGGAACUGAGACACGGGCCCGACUCCUACGGGAGGCAGCAGUAAGGAAUAUUGGUCAAUGGACGCAAGUCUGAACCAGCCAUGCCGCGUGAAGGAUUAAGGUCCUCUGGAUUGUAAACUUCUUUUGUUUGGGACGAAAAAGGGCCUUUCUAGGUCAACUGACGGUACCAGAUGAAUAAGCACCGGCUAACUCCGUGCCAGCCGCCGCAGUAAAAC
rnacentral:rRNA from 1 species